GGGAAUGCCGUAGCUCAGUGGACAGAGCAUCUGCUUCAUGUGCAGCAUGUACCAGGUUCAAUUCCUGGCAUCUCCA